GACGAACGCUGGCGGCGUGCUUAACACAUGCAAGUCGAACGGAAAGGCCCUGCUUGCCGGGUACUCGAGUGGCGAACGGGUGAGUAACACGUGGGUGAUCUGCCCUGCACUUCGGGAUAAGCCUGGGAAACUGGGUCUAAUACCGGAUAGGAGCCAUUUUUAUUGUGAUGGUUGGAAAGUUUUUUCGGUGUAGGAUGAGCUCGCGGCCUAUCAGCUUGUUGGUGGGGUAAUGGCCUACCAAGGCGGCGACGGGUAGCCGGCCUGAGAGGGUGGACGGCCACAGUGGGACUGAGAUACGGCCCAGACUCCUACGGGAGGCAGCAGUGGGGAAUAUUGCACAAUGGGCGCAAGCCUGAUGCAGCGACGCCGCGGGGGGGAUGACGGCCUUCGGGUUGUAAACGCCUUUCGCUAGGGACGAAGCUUUUUGUGACGGUACCUAGAUAAGAAGCACCGGCUAACUACGUG
rnacentral:rRNA from 1 species